UUUCCGUAGGUGAACCUGCGGAAGGAUCAUUAUUGUAUAACCGAGGUGCGAGGGCUGUCGCUGACCCGAAAGGUCGUGCACGCCCGAGUGCCCUCACACACAUCCAUCUCACCCCUAUGUGCACCACCGCGUGGGUCCCCCUUUGGCUUGUUCGGAGGGGGGCUUACGUUUUCACAAAAACUCUGUAUGCAGUGUAGAAUGUAUUUUUUGUUUUUGCGAUCACGCAAUCAAUACAACUUUCAACAACGGAUCUCUUGGCUCUC
rnacentral:misc_RNA from 1 species